rnacentral:lncRNA from 1 species
GGGUGUGGGGGGGAUAUGAGGGGGGUUAUGGGGGUGUGGGGGGGCACAAUGGAAGGGGGCCAUUGGGGUGGCGACACCCAGAGCUGUGGGAGCCAACGUGCACCAUGGGGGUGGUGGGGACGGGGGGCCGCCCCACAGCCCUAUGGGGUGACCGACACCCCCCCCCUAAUUUGUACCCCGUAGGACCCCGAGGGCAAACCCAAGAAGGCGUCGAUCCGCGACAACGGGGACGGGACGUACACCGUGUCCUACGUGCCCGACACCACCGGCCGCUACACCAUCCUCAUCAAGUACGGCGGCGACGAGAUCCCCUACUCCCCGUACCGCAUCCGCGCCGUCCCCGCCGGCGACGCCAGCAAGUGCACCGUCACCGGCCCGGGGCUGGGCCCCACCAUCCAGCUGGGGGAGCAGACGCUGCUGACGGUGGACGCCAAGGCCGCGGGGCCGGGCAAGGUGACGUGUGCCGUGCGGGCGCCCGACGGCGCCGAGGCCGACGUGGACGUGGUGGAAAACGCCGACGGGACCUUCGACAUCUUUUACACCGCCCCCCAGCCAGGGAAGUACAUCAUCUGCGUGCGCUUCGGGGGGGAGCACGUCCCCAACAG